rnacentral:lncRNA from 1 species
AUGUUCUGCGUCUGGGGUGUAUAUUUAUGUUCUGGGUCUGGGGUGUAUAUUUAUGUUCUGGGGUCUGGGGUGUAUAUUUAUGUUCUGCGUCUGGGGUGUAUAUUUAUGUUCUGGGUCUGGGGUGUAUAUUUAUGUUCUGGGUCUAGGGUGUAUAUUUAUGUUCUGGGUCUAGGGUGUAUAUUUAUAUUCUGGGUCUGGGUGUAUAUUUAUGUUCUGAGUCUGGGGUGUAUAUUUAUGUUCUGGAUCUGGGGUGUAUAUUUAUGUUCUGGAUCUGGGGUGUAUAUUUAUGUUCUGGGUCUGGGGUGUAUAUUUAUGUUCUGGGGUGUAUAUUUAUGUUCUGGGUCUGGGGUGUAUAUUUAUGUUCUGGGUCUGGGGUGUAUAUUUAUGUUCUGGGGUCUGGGGUGUAUAUUUAUGUCCUGGAUCUGGGGUGUAUAUUUAUGUUCUGGGGUCUGGGGUGUAUAUUUAUGUUCUGGGGUCCGGGGUGUAUAUUUAUAUUCUGGGUCUGGGGUGUAUAUUUAUGGUCCUGGGUGUAUAUUUAUGUUCUGGGGACCAGGGUGUAUAUUUAUGUCCUUGAUCUGGGGUGUAUAUUUAUAUUCUGGGUCUGGGGUGUAUAUUUAUGUUCUGGGUCUGGGGUGUAUAUUUAUAUUUUGGGUCUGGGGUGUAUAUUUAUGUUCUGGGGUCUGGAGUGUAUAUUUAUGUUCUGUGGUGUAUAUUUAUGUUCUGGGUCUGGGGUGUAUAUUUAUGUUCUGGGGUCUAGAGUGUAUAUUUAUGUCCUGGGGUCUGGGGUGUAUAUUUAUGUCCUGGGGUCUGUGGUGUAUAUUUAUGUCCUGGGGUCUAGAGUGUAUAUUUAUGUUCUGGGUCUGGGGUGUAUAUUUAUGUUCUGGGUCUGGGGUGUAUAUUUAUGUUCUGGGUCUGGGGUGUAUAUUUAUGUUCUGGGGUCUGGGUGUAUAUUUAUGUUCUGGGUCUGGGGUGUAUAUUUAUGUUCUGGGGUCUGGGGUGUAUAUUUAUGUUCUGGGUCUGGGGUGUAUAUUUAUGUUCUGGGGUCUGGGGUGUAUAUUUAUGUUCUGGGUCUGGGGUGUAUAUUUAUGUUCUGGGUCUGGGGUGUAUAUUUAUGUUCUGGGGUCUGGGGUGUAUAUUUAUGUCCUGGAUCUGGGGUGUAUAUUUAUGUUCUGGGGUCUGGGGUGUAUAUUUAUGUUCUGGGGUCCGGGGUGUAUAUUUAUAUUCUGGGUCUGGGGUGUAUAUUUAUGGUCCUGGGUGUAUAUUUAUGUUCUGGGGACCAGGGUGUAUAUUUAUGUCCUUGAUCUGGGGUGUAUAUUUAUGUUCUGGGUCUGGGGUGUAUAUUUAUGUUCUGGGUCUGGGGUGUAUAUUUAUAUUCUGGGACUGGGGUGUAUGUUUAUGUGGUAG